CCUCGGCAGUACCGGUACCGGUACCCAGCGCCAUGCGCGGCUAAGAUGGCGACGUGAAGGGCGGACCCGCGAAGCCUCCAUCUCUCACGGUGAUUCAUCCUCCUAGCCCUGAGCGAGAUGGAGGACGGUCUUCUCUCCCUCAAGUGGAACAACCACAGAUCCACUUUUUUCCACAUCCUCAGUGAAGUCCGGGGAAAACACACGUACACGGAUGCGACGCUGGCGUGUGAGGGCAAGUUCUUCCCGGUGCACAAGCUGGUCAUGUCCACCUGCAGCGACUACUUCAUGGAGAUCUUUGAGAAGACGC